AGCGAACGCUGGCGGCAGGCCUAACACAUGCAAGUCGAACGGCAGCUCAGUAAGAGCUUGCUCUUACGGGUGGCGCGUGGCGGACGGGUGCGGAAUACAUCGGAAUCUACUUUUUCGUGGGGGAUAACGCAGGGAAAUUUACGCUAAUACCGCAUACGACCUACGGGUGAAAGCAGGGGAUCUUUGGACUUUUCGCUAAUGAAUGAGCCGACGUCGGAUUAGCUAGUUGGCGGGGUAAAGGCACUCCAAGGCGACGCUCCGUAGCGGGUCUGACGGGAUGGUCAGCCACACUGGAACUGAGGCACAGUCCAGACUCCUACGGGAGGCAGCAGUGGGGAAUAUUAGGCGAGGGGCGCAAGCCUGAUCCUGCAAUACCGCGUGGGUGAAGAAGGACUUCGGGUUGUAGAGCCCUUUUGUUGGGAGAGAAGAGCAGCAGGUUAAUACGCCGCUGUUCUGACGGUACCCGAAGAAUAAGCACCGGCUAACUUCGUG
rnacentral:rRNA from 1 species